UCAUACUACACUAAUUCAGCAGUGCAGAUGCACUCUAAGUCUACUUCCACAGUCUUCACUUCAUGCAUCUGAGGAAGUAAACUUGGACUACAAAUGCAUACGCUACCAACUUCAUUCUCUUG
rnacentral:precursor_RNA from 11 species